GAAACACUCUUUAAUGGAACUUUCGUUUUAGCUGGUCGUGACCAAGAAACCACCGGCUUUGCUUGAUGGGCUGGGAAUGCCAGACUUAUCAAUUUGUCUGGUAAACUGCUUGGAGCUCAUGUAGCCCAUGCCGGAUUAAUCAGAUUCUGGGCCGGGGCAAUAAACCUAUUUGAAGUGGCCCAUUUCGUACCAGAAAAGCCCAGGUAUGAACAAUUGCACCAAUUCUUAAUCCAAAGUUCCAGACAUUUGUUAAAUAAGGAAGAGACCAACUCUUUCCAUUUAUUAAUUGAAUUCCUAUAA
rnacentral:rRNA from 1 species